CGUGUAGGCGGUGCGGUAAGUUGGGCGUGAAAUCCCCGAGCUUAACUCGGGAGGGCCGUUCAAGACUGCCGUGCUAGGGUGCGGGAGAGGGAAGUGGAAUUUCCGGUGUAGCGGUGAAAUGCGUAGAUAUCGGGAGGAACACCUGCGGCGAAGGCGGCUUCCUGGACCGUAACCGACGCUGAGGCGCGAAAGCUAGGGGAGCAAACAGGAUUAGAUACCCUGGUAGUCCUAGCCCUAAACGAUGAGCACUGGGUGUGGCCCCUCACGGGGCUGUGCCGAAGCUAACGCAUUAAGUGCUCCGCCUGGGGAGUACGGUCGCAAGGCUGAA
rnacentral:rRNA from 1 species